CGGGGACGUCGCAGCCUCCCCGUCAAGUGGUAACACCCAUGCAAGCGCUGC
rnacentral:ncRNA from 1 species